rnacentral:tRNA from 1 species
GUGGAUAUAGCUCAGUUGGUAGAGCGCUUGCUUUGGGAGCAAGGGGCCGCAGGUUCAAGUCCUGCUAUCCGCA